rnacentral:rRNA from 1 species
UACGGGGGGAGCAAGCGUUGUUCGGAUUUACUGGGCGUAAAGCGCGUGUAGGCGGCCCUGCAAGUCGGAUGUGAAAUCCCACGGCUCAAUCAUGGAAGUGCAUUCGAAACUGCAGAGCUAGAGUCCUGGAGAGGAAGGUGGAAUGCUUGGUGUAGAGGUGAAAUUCGUAGAUAUCAAGCGGAACACCGGUGGCGAAGGCGGCCUUCUGGACAGUGACUGACGCUGAGACGCGAAGGCGUGGGGAGCAAACAGG